ACAGCUACGGAAGACUGAAUUGAUCAAAUAACUAUAUUAUGUUUACUUGUGCAUGAAAACCCCUAUAUAUAAUUAUACAUAGGGAUCUCGAUCUACUGAUGCUUGGUGGCCGAUAUAUAUAUAUAUAUAUAUAUAUAUGAUUGUGUCUGAGAGCUAAUAGAGUGGUUCCCAGAAACUUCAAUAUAUGUAUCUUGAGAGGG
rnacentral:sRNA from 1 species